GGACGAGACUGAUUGACAGUGAAGUGCGCCCCUUUUUAAUGGGCUUUCCGGCACCCAUUUACUUUUGGAUAAGGGAAUCGCCCACAUCGACUUCCCAUAACAAUAGACGGGAUAGCUGGCACAGUGGAGGGUAAACGUUUUUACAAGCUCUGUACGAAAGCUCUGUAGGAGUAACAAAAGCACACGGGCUCUUGUCAACUUCCACCCUGAACUUCAGCUCAAGCAGCACCGUUGCAACGUUCCUGUUUCAAGCUGGAUCUCUUCAUGAAGAUAAGACAAAGUGUUUCUGCGACGCUCCGUAAAAGACAAAUAAAUAGUGGGGGGAAAAACGAGAUCUUUAGCAGCACAGCAUGUAGGGCUAAAUCUAACCUUCAGGGGUGUAUUCCAAUGAAAGCAGCAGAAACAAACACAGCCUCAUACCAGGACAUGCUAUUUGUUUUCCUUCAGGCGCUCAAUAUUUGCGCUGCUUUACAGUAUGUGAGGCGUGACAGAAAAUACAUCUGAUUUUAUUUCUCCAAUGGGAAGCUCUGCGUUUUUUGCAUAUGGAGCUCAUCACAGACAAACGACUUGUUAAUGCCAGGUUACUUCAGCUGGAAAGCUGUUUUCAAGCGCCAGGCCAAGCUAUUGAAGAAACACAUGUAAUGAAACACCAGCCAUGAAGCCCCACUACUCCCCACUCCUGUGAUUCUGCUGCACUCCCCAUAACAAAGAACUCAAUCUUUAAAGAGCUUUUACUUGUGGAGCGAAGCAAAGCUUCCAUCUAGGGCCUGACCAAAUCAUUAUUGCACAGAUAAGGAUCAGAACUGAGGCAGAUGUCUGCUGGCUUUACAAUAUGUGCAUGGAGAUGACCUGCAAGGCCCCUGCCAGCGUACAGUGCUGAGGCGUCUCAGUUUGCUUUCUCUCAGACAUGUUGAAGCUAGCUGGAAUCCACUGGGGUUGCAUUGCAGCUAGGUGGUCUUGAUUUUGCCUCAGGAGGCUAAUGUGCGUGCCAAAUGGCAUCUUAUUCCUAUAUAGAGUGCUACAGGAUUUUGAGCAGAACCCUAUGGGCUCUGGUCGGAAGUAGUGCACUAUAUAUGGAAUAGGGUGUCAUUUGAGACACUAUCUGUGGUGGUCAACUGAGUCACAUUGUUCUUGGGACUGGAAGUGGAGUGUUAUGUUUUUCCCCAUUGAUGCCCAGAGCAGCUGUCUCAAUGAAACACUUUCAGUACAGUUGAUUUGUUAAGAAGGAAACAUUAGG